GGGCCCGUAGCUCAGUCUGGUUAGAUCUCGGGUCAAGAGCCUGAAAAAUCAAAGCACCCGCCUGAUAAGCGGGAGGUCGAGGGUUCAAAUCCCUCCGGGCCCACCA
rnacentral:tRNA from 1 species